AGAAGAAAUUCCUUUGGAUUUUCAUGAGAGAGCAAUCGAGAAGAGUUCUUCAAACAUUCCGACUGAAAAUCCCGUUUCUAGAGAAUUAAAAUGUAUUACUAAAAAAUUUUUAGAUAAGUGUUACACUCUACUAAUGAAGAUUUUAAGAACUACUCAGUAAUUGAACCAUGUGAAUUCAAUGAUCUAUGAGCUUGGAAUCUUAAGAAAUUACUAAUUUUGAUGAUGACAUUGGCUGCUUCGGUUUUAGGAACUGUCAGAAAUAGCCACUAACCAAGAGAAAGAGAGCAAGGACUAGCCCUGAAUAAUUGGUCAAUGAUGCUGGUUUUGUUGGCUUCAUUCUCCUUUGACUUCCUGGAAAAUACAGACCUACAAAGCAAA